rnacentral:snoRNA from 1 species
AGUCUGCAUGCUUCCCCUAGUUGUCCUAUGACUUUUGUAUCAGGGAGAGAGAAAGGACCUUCGGGACCUCGGACUGGUCUCCCGGUGGCCUCUCUUUCUUUAAGGGGCACAACAGAC